rnacentral:rRNA from 1 species
GACGAACGCUGGCGGCGUGCUUAACACAUGCAAGUCGAGCGGUAAGGCCCUUUCGGGGGUACACGAGCGGCGAACGGGUGAGUAACACGUGGGUGACCUGCCCUCAGCUCUGGGAUAAGCCUGGGAAACUGGGUCUAAUACCGGAUAUGACUUCAUGACGCAUGUUGUGGAGUGGAAAGCCUUGUGCGGCUGAGGAUGGGCCCGCGGCCUAUCAGCUUGUUGGUGGGGUGAUGGCCUACCAAGGCGACGACGGGUAGCCGGCCUGAGAGGGCGACCGGCCACACUGGGACUGAGACACGGCCCAGACUCCUACGGGAGGCAGCAGUGGGGAAUCUUGCGCAAUGGGCGAAAGCCUGACGCAGCGACGCCGCGUGAGGGAUGACGGCCU